UGUCUAUGACAGCCCUGGAGACAGAGUUGCUGACCAGAAUCGGAAAGGAGGGUGCAGGCGGUGAACAUGCAGAGCCCCGUUCCUCGGUUUUUCCGUAGACACUGAGCACUCUGGGGGCUCUUGGCCCCCCAGCCCUCACUCCGGCCAAGGCGGUCUCUGGAGGUGGGUCGGUUUGGGGCCUCUGAGAUCAAUCUUCUUACUUGAAUUUGAGCAUUUUAAUGAGCUGAGUAGGUGGGGGAGAGCGACGGGUGAGGAGGGCUGCAUCUAAAGAGACCACCCCACGAGGGGUUCCGAGGAGGCUUUGUAAAUUAAAUAUGAACAGACUGCUCCAUGCAUACUCCGCAUCCUUUCCUCUCGCCUAUUCCUGCGGUCGCUACAGGCAGCCCUGAUGGGACCAGCGCAUCUCAUCAACCCAGAAUUCAGAACCCUGAACUUCACUUCACUUGCCUGUGUCUGUAAUCCCUACAGACACCUCCGGGGAAGAAGAACUUCCCUCGACCGCGGGGACUCGCCCAACCUGGGAACCUCUGGGGCCCGAGAGCCAAGAAAGACCCCCUUCCUUGCUCUUUUCCCGGGGAUGCAGAAGUCAGGUGAAUUUGGCAGGGAGACAGGGCUCCAGGCGCCUGGAGAGGGGCUAAGGGCGCAGUAGCCACCCAGGAGAGGGCGUCAAUUCCCGCGGACCCCCGCAGCUCCCACCCACUCUCCUGCAAGCGCUUUUGUUCCCCGAGCCUGCCUUGGGGAAAAAAGACAACCCUUACCCCCGCCUUGAACCCUGAAGAGUUCAGUGCCCGCCAAGGCAGGGCUGGAGCCCGAGUCGCCCCGGGCAGAGUCCGCCGAGGUCUCGGUUGGGAGCUACGACUCCAGGAUCAGGCUCCGAGCUCCUCUUGGAGAAGGCUGCGCGUAUUUCCACCGGCGCCGCCAGGCGCGCAGGAGCCAGCCUCUCUAAUGUUUGUAAUGUGGAUGAUGGUACAGUUACUGAAGGGCUGGGGAACCGGGAGCGAAGAUACCACCCCCACCUCCGCCUACAUCUUUUAUGGUUAAAGAAACAGACACCUAAUUAGGUGCGUGGAAAUAGGGGAGAGACGGGGUACAAGUUUCCAAGACGCCAGCGUGGAGGCCAGGUUUGAAAUCUGCAGAAUCUAGGCUAAGGUUUUUGGACCAGGCUGUGGUGCCGACCCUAGAUUCACCCAGAGAGGAUAACUCGAGCUCUGGGCAGCUUUUUGUGGACUUUUAACUGCGACCUUGCCGACCCUCACGGUUCCGAGGGUAGGGAGAGUUGAGACCCCCUGGAUCCCGGCACUAAGCUACCCGGAUUCUAUUCAAAGCUAGGGCCCAGGGCUGGUUCGCGCGCUCCCCCUGCUGGAAACCGCCUGUCGGGCUCAGAGGCGCAGGGCAGCGGCUGGGGUACCUUGGGCCGGGAGGUUCUGAGGCUCGAACCGGGGCCAGGACCGAAGCCUGCGCGGCUCCCGGUUCUUCAUCCCGCGGUGCGACAUUCCGAAGUGGGACAUGCUAACCCAA
rnacentral:lncRNA from 1 species